rnacentral:rRNA from 1 species
UUGGAGGGCAAGUCUGGUGCCAGCAGCCGCGGUAAUUCCAGCUCCAAUAGCGUAUAUUAAAGUUGUUGCAGUUAAAAAGCUCGUAGUUGAAUUUCGGGAUCAUCAGGUUGGUCGUGCCUCUGGUAUGUACUGAUUUCGAUGGUUCCUCCUUCUUGAAGAACCGUAAUGCCAUUAAUUUGGUGUUGCGGGGAAUCAGGACUGUUACUUUGAAAAAAUUAGAGUGUUUAAAGCAGGCAAUCGCUUGAAUACAUUAGCAUGGAAUAAUGAAAUAGGACGUUCGAUCCUAUUUUGUUGGUUUCUAGGAUUGACGUAAUGAUUAAUAGGGAUAGUUGGGGGCAUUAGUAUUCAAUUGUCAGAGGUGAAAUUCUUGGAUUUAUUGAAGACUAACUACUGCGAAAGCAUUUGCCAAGGAUGUUUUCAUUAAUCAAGAACGAAAGUUAGGGGAUCGAAGACGAUCAGAUACCGUCGUAGUCUUAACCAUAAACUAUGCCGACUAGGGAUCGGAUGAUGUUAAUUUUUUAAUGACUCAUUCGGCGCCUUACGGGAAA